CCCUUAGAUGUUCUGGGCCGCACGCGUGCUACACUGAGUGGAUCAGCGGGUCAGGUUGCGCGAAAGCGUUUCCUAAUCUUUAAAUCCGCUCGUGAUGGGGAUUGACGGUUGCAAUUUUCCGUCAUGAACGAGGAAUACCUUGUAAGCGCGGGUCAUCAUCCCGCGCUGAAUACGUCCCUGCCCUUUGUACACACCGCCCGUCGCUACUACCGAUUGAAUGGUUUAGUGAGGACUCCUGAUUGGCGCCGCCGCCCCGGCAACGGAGCAGCGGACUGCCGAAAAGUUGUUCAAACUUGAUCAUUUAGAGGAAGUAAAAGUCGUAACA
rnacentral:rRNA from 1 species